AGUGAACGCUGGCGGUAGGCCUAACACAUGCAAGUCGAACGGCAGCGCAGUAAGAGCUUGCUCUUACGGGUGGCGAGUGGCGGACGGGUGAGGAAUACAUCGGAAUCUACUUUUCGUGGGGGAUAACGUAGGGAAACUUACGCUAAUACCGCAUACGACCUACGGGUGAAAGCAGGGGAUCUUCGGACCUUGCGCGAUUGAAUGAGCCGAUGUCGGAUUAGCUAGUUGGCGGGGUAAAGGCCCACCAAGGCGACGAUCCGUAGCUGGUCUGAGAGGAUGAUCAGCCACACUGGAACUGAGACACGGUCCAGACUCCUACGGGAGGCAGCAGUGGGGAAUAUUGGACAAUGGGCGCAAGCCUGAUCCAGCCAUACCGCGUGGGUGAAGAAGGCCUUCGGGUUGUAAAGCCCUUUUGUUGGGAAAGAAAAGCAGCAGGUUAAUACCCCGCUGUUCUGACGGUACCCAAAGAAUAAGCACCGGCUAACUUCGUG
rnacentral:rRNA from 1 species